rnacentral:rRNA from 1 species
GAUGAACGCUGGCGGCGUGCCUAACACAUGCAAGUCGAACGAGAUGCGUAUCGGAAAGCUUCGGCCGGAAGAUGCGUUAUCUAGUGGCGGACGGGUGAGUAACACGUGGGUAACCUGCCUUAUGGAGGGGGAUAACAGAGAGAAAUCACUGCUAAUACCGCAUAAGCACACAGUACCGCAUGGUACAGGGUGAAAAGAUUUAUCGCCAUAAGAUGGACCCGCGUCUGAUUAGCCAGUUGGCAGGGUAAAAGCCUACCAAAGCAACGAUCAGUAGCCGAUCUGAGAGGAUGACCGGCCACAUUGGGACUGAGACACGGCCCAAACUCCUACGGGAGGCAGCAGUGGGGAAUAUUGCACAAUGGGGGAAACCCUGAUGCAGCGACGCCGCGUGAGUGAAGAAGUAUUUCGGUAUGUAAAGCUCUAUCAGCAGGGAAGAUAAUGACAGACCUGA